rnacentral:rRNA from 1 species
AUUGAACGCUGGCGGCAGGCCUAACACAUGCAAGUCGAACGGUAACAGGAAGAACAUUGCUUCUUUGCUGACGAGUGGCGGUCGGGUGUGUAUUGUCUGGGAAACUGCCUGAUGGCGGGGGACAACUACUGGAAACGGCAGCUAAUACCCCAUAACUUCUCAAGACCAAAGUGGGGGACCUUCGGGCCUCUUGCCAUCGGAUGUGCCCAGAUGGGAUUAGCUAGUAGGUGGGGUCACGGAUCACCUAGGCGACAAUCCCUACCUGGUCUGAGAGGAUGACCAGCCACACUGGAACUGAGACACGGUCCAGACUCCUACGGGAGGCAGCAGUGGGGAAUAUUGCAAAAUGGGCGCAAGCCUGAUGCAGCCAUGCCGCGUGUAUGAAGCAGGCCUCCGGGUUGUAAAGUACUUUUAGCGGGGAGGAAGGGAGUAAAGUUAAUACCUUGGCUCAUUGACGUUCCCCGCAGAAGAAGCACCGGCUCAACACGUG